CUAAGGAUGGCCCAGUUGGUUAGAGUAUGGUGCAGAUAAUGCCAAGAUUUCAGGUUCAAUCCCUAUAUUCAGGUUGGACUAGA